UACAGAGGUCUCAAGCGUUGUUCGGAUUCAUUGGCGUAAAGGGUGCGUAGGCGGCGCGGUAAGUCGGGUGUGAAAUCUCGGAGCUUAACUCCGAAACUGCAUUCGAUACUGCCGUGCUUGAGGACUGGAGAGGAGACUGGAAUUUACGGUGUGAGCGGUGAAAUGCGUAGAUAUCGUAAGGAAGACCAGUGGCGAAGGCGGGUCUCUGGACAGUUCCUGACGCUGAGGCACGAAGGUCAGGGGAGCAAACGGG
rnacentral:rRNA from 1 species